rnacentral:rRNA from 1 species
AUGANCGCUGGCGGCAGGCCUAACACAUGCAAGUCGAACGGUAACAGGAAGUGCUUGCACUUCGCUGACGAGUGGCGGACGGGUGAGUAAUGCUUGGGAACUUGCCUUUGCGAGGGGGAUAACAGUUGGAAACGACUGCUAAUACCGCAUAAUGUCUACGGACCAAACGGGGCUUAGGCUUCGGCGCAAAGAGAGGCCCAAGUGAGAUUAGCUAGUUGGUAAGGUAAAGGCUUACCAAGGCAACGAUCUCUAGCUGUUCUGAGAGGAAGAUCAGCCACACUGGAACUGAGACACGGUCCANACUCCUACGGGAGGCAGCAGUGGGGAAUAUUGCACAAUGGGGGAAACCCUGAUGCAGCCAUGCCGCGUGUGUGAAGAAGGCCUUCGGGUUGUAAAGCACUUUCAGUUGUGAGGAAAAGUUAGUAGUUAAUACCUGCUAGCCGUGACGUUAACAACAGAAGAAGCACCGGCUAACUCCGUGCCAGCAGCCGCGGUAAUACGGAGGGUGCGAGCGUUAAUCGGAAUUACUGGGCGUAAAGCGCACGCAGGCGGUUUGUUAAGCUAGAUGUGAAAGCCCCGGGCUCAACCUGGGACGGUCAUUUAGAACUGGCAGACUAGAGUCUUGGAGAGGGGAGUGGAAUUCCAGGUGUAGCGGUGAAAAUGCGUANAUAUCUGGAGGAACAUCAGUGGCGAAAGGCGACUCCCUGGCCAAANACUGACGCUCAUGUGCCAAAAGUGUGGGUAGCCGAACAGGAUUAGANUCCCUNGGUANUCCCCACCCGUAAACNCUGNCUACNUAACNUGUUUGGNGGCUUUUA